UACGUAGGGGGCAAGUGUUGUCCGGAAUCAUUGGGCGUAAAGCGCGGGUAGGCGGCCCGGUAAGUCCGCUGUGAAAGUCGGGGGCUCAACCCUCGGAUGCCGGUGGAUACUGUCGGGCUAGAGUGCGGAAGAGGCGAGUGGAAUUCCUGGUGUAGCGGUGAAAUGCGCAGAUAUCAGGAGGAACACCAAUUGCGAAGGCAGCUCGCUGGGACGUUACUGACGCUGAGACGCGAAAGCGCGGGGAGCAAACAGG
rnacentral:rRNA from 1 species